UGGACAACUCACAGUCAAGCAUUUCCAUCCUGUAACAGUUGGAGAAUGAGCCUGCGUGACAGGCCUUCCAUUUAGCAGGUGAAUCUCAGCUGCUACGUAAAUCGUCAAAGCUGGAACUUGGAAUGUGAAUAUAGCCAUGAGAGUGCCUCAGCAAGGAGCCAUUAUGAGGUCUUGGUGUCCGGGAAUCUGCAUUGAUAACCCACACCGCAGGUGAUUCUGAUGGAGGUGGUUCCAGAACUAGAGUUUGAGAGUCGCUGUCCUCUAGCAACCUCUGGAUUAAACACGGGAGAAAACAAAUAGACCUGGGUUGUUGACUGACCAAUGAACUUUGAAGGAUGAAGCCAGGAAUAACAAAACCAUGCCUCUGACCAUGUAGGGAACUGAAAGGAUGGAGUCAAGGCCUUGAGGAGACAGCAGAGAGGCAACCAAAAGAAGAUGGCAGGCAGCCAGAAGAAAGCACAUUCCCAGUUAGCUGAUUUUUGCUUUGGGAAACAUUGCUCCAAGUGGAAUGGCUGCAACAAAAGGUACGUACAUCUUUAG